rnacentral:rRNA from 1 species
UAACGGCGAGUGAAGCGGCAAUAGCUCAAAUUUGAAAUCUGGCUCUUUUAGGGUCCGAGUUGUAAUUUGCAGAGGGCGCUUUGGCGUUGGCAGCGGUCCAAGUUCCUUGGAACAGGACGUCACAGAGGGUGAGAAUCCCGUACGUGGUCGCUAUCCUUCGCCGUGUAAAGCCCCUUCGACGAGUCGAGUUGUUUGGGAAUGCAGCUCUAAAUGGGAGGUAAAUUUCUUCUAAAGCUAAAUACUGGCCAGAGACCGAUAGCGCACAAGUAGAGUGAUCGAAAGAUGAAAAGCACUUUGGAAAGAGAGUCAAAUAGCACGUGAAAUUGUUGAAAGGGAAGCGCUUGUAGCCAGACUUGCCUGUAGUUGCUUAUCUAGACUUUUGUCUGGUGCACUCUUCUAUGGGCAGGCCAGCAUCAGUUUGGGCGGUUGGAUAAAGGUCUCUGUCAUGUACCUCUCUUCGGGGAGGCCUUAUAGGGGAGACGACAUACAACCAGCCUGGACUGAGGUCCGCGCAUCUGCUAGGAUGCUGGCGUAAUGGCUAUAAGCGGCCCGUCUUGAAACACGGACCAAGGAGUCUAACAUCUAUGCGAGUGUUUGGGUGUCAAGCCCAUACGCGUAAUGAAAGUGAACGGAGGUAAGAACCUUCGGGUGCAUUAUCGACCGAUCCUGAUGUCUUCGGAAGGAUUUGAGUAAGAGCAUGGCUGUUGGGACCCGAAAGAUGGUGAACUAUGCUUGAAUAGGGUGAAGCCAGAGGAAACUCUGGUGGAGGCUCGCAGCGGUUCUGACGUGCAAA